rnacentral:rRNA from 1 species
CGGGUGAGUAACACGUGGAUAACCUACCUAUAAGACUGGGAUAACUUCGGGAAACCGGAGCUAAUACCGGAUAAUAUUUUGAACCGCAUGGUUCAAAAGUAAAAGACGGUCUUGCUGUCACUUAUGGAUGGAUCCGCGCUGCAUUAGCUAGUUGGUAAGGUAACGGCUUACCAAGGCAACGAUGCAUAGCCGACCUGAGAGGGUGAUCGGCCACACUGGAACUGAGACACGGUCCAG